GGGGCCAUAGCUCAGCUGGGAGAGCGCCUGCCUUGCACGCAGGAGGUCGGCGGUUCGAUCCCGCUUGGCUCCACCA
rnacentral:tRNA from 1 species